UAAGUGGCAAUCUCGGUAGUUAGAGUAGCAAAAUUCAUUAACCCUAAUUUUUGUAUGUGUAAGAGAGAGAACAAUGAACCGUUCAAAAAUCGCCACCAUGGCCGCUGUUCAUUUCAAAAUAAAAUUUAAAGUGAAUGGAUUUAUACGUGUGUGCGCAGGAAAGGAAGAGCAAGGAGGUUACGUUGGAAUUGGUGGAGGUUUUUGGAUUUAGCACUGGUGCAAUAUAGUAUAACAACAACGCAGAAUCAGUGGAUAAUAACAUGAUAUUGAAAACACAAAGGCGUUAGGCGUCAAUUGGUCCUUCCAUCGGAGUGGAGGUCUCCCUCUUCCUCGGCUUCCACCGAGUCCAUUCGAACAGCAUGACCAAGCCCGCGUAGCCGCUGUCUUUUUUCGCUGGACUAUGUCUAUGUCGUCUAACAACACAUACAGCUCAUCAUUUCAUCUUCUGCGGUAUCCGCCGUUGCCAAUGUUUAAGGGACCAUAAAUCCCCAAAACCUUUCUUUCGAAAACUCCUAGUGCCGUUUCAUCGGAUGUUGACAUCGUCCAGGCUUCUGCACCAUAAUGUAGGACGGGAAUGAUGAGGGACUUGAAGAGUUUAGUUUUUGCUCAUCUAGAGAGGACUUUACUUUUCAAUUGCCUACUCAGACCAUAAACACAAAUACUGGAGGAUUACAAUAACUACAACUUUUCUUAGGCAUGAUAAACAAGACAACAACAAAUCCCAUCGGACAUUUAGAUUAGCAGUUGCACAACCUCUUUCCGACUGAACCUGUUUAUGAUGUACAUAUGGGAUAGGUUUGUGUGGAAUUGACAUCAAACAAUAUUGGUUCAUUAGUUUCGUUGGAUAGUUAUAAGGAAAUGGUUCGCGUUUAGUAUUAAUUUAUUCAUUUGCUAAUUCAUAAUUUAGAUGUAAAAUAUUAUUAAACUAUACAAAUGAAUGUUCGAAUACUAAUAACAUUCGUAAUAGUAAUGGAAUUUUAUUUGAAUUGUAUAACAACAACUACAAAAAAUAAAAAUGUAA